UUUUUGUUGUUUUGUUAUUCUUGUUUUGUUGUUUUCUUUUUUUUCUUUGUGUUUGCUUGUACAGUCGCAGAUAUUGAGAAAACUGUUGGGAAAUGUAAGUCAAGAACAUCAAGAAGCGAAAAUGACACGACAAGGAAUUCUGGAAACAAUUGGUCACAAACGCUUGGAACUCCAAGCAAAGAAAGAAGAAC
rnacentral:ribozyme from 13 species